rnacentral:rRNA from 1 species
AUCAGCCUUUCGGGUGCGAUUCUGUGGAGUUUGAGGAAGCUUAACACCUUCAUGCUUUGCAUAUUCGUGCUCUUGGGUGUACUUGCCCGUGUGGUUGGUUAACAUCAAUUUUGGUGGUCAUAAAAUGACUGGAGGAAUGUAGCUUCGAUCUUGUAUUGAAGUGUUAUAGCCUUCGGUAGAUGUGAUGAUCGAGAUUGAGGAUUGCAACGGAUACCCUUCGGGGCUACCUGUCUGAUCUCUGAUCGUUGCUCUGGUGCCGAAAGCUUGCUUACGGUUAUCAAAGUCGAUGGUCAAUAGGUUAGAACGGGUUAAAUUCGUUAAGGAUGUUGACGUAAUGGCUUU